rnacentral:snRNA from 1 species
GUGCUGGCUUCGGCAGCACAUAUACUAAAAUUGGAACGAUACAGAGAAGAUUAGCAUGGCCCCUGCACAAGGAUGACAUGCAAAUUCGUGAAGCAUUCCAUAUUUAA